AAGAAAUUAGUUAAAUGUAUAACAUUAGAAUGUCAAACUAAAAUUAUUAAAAUAUCAAUAUUUCUUA
rnacentral:tRNA from 1 species